rnacentral:lncRNA from 10 species
AAAGGACUUCCUAGUGGGUGUGAAAGGCAGCGGUGGCCACAGAGGCGGCGGAGAGAUGGCCUUCAGCGGUUCCCAGGCUCCCUACCUGAGUCCAGCUGUCCCCUUUUCUGGGACUAUUCAAGGAGGUCUCCAGGACGGACUUCAGAUCACUGUCAAUGGGACCGUUCUCAGCUCCAGUGGAACCAGGUGUGUGUGUAUAUGGAUGGAAACGUUUCACUCCAGCCUCGUCCCUUAGUAAACCACUGUGCCUGUGAGCCUGGGUUAGUUCAAACAGCAACAUCCAAGCUCACGUGCCUGGCUCAGGGGAGGCCCAAUGCGUCCCUAACCCAUGCCACAGGGCAGCACUCCACAGGCACAACCUGCACCCAGGGGUGCCAUUAACCUGGACUCCAGGAUGAAUGGGGCCCUGGGAGCUGACGGUCUAAGGAGGGCGUGGGAUGGUCAGAGUUGGAUGAUUAUGUUCUGGGUUGAACCUUGCACACUGUGACUAAGAGUUGCAAAAAUCAAACUUCCUCCAUUUCCCGUAACUGCUCUCAUCCACUCUGAAGCUCUCCUU